UGAUCCUGAUGCAGAGAUGCGAUCCCUGUUU
rnacentral:piRNA from 1 species